UCUGGGUGCGGUGGCAUGUGCCUGUAGUCCCAGCUACUCAGAAAACUGAGAUGGGAGGAUACCUUGAUCCCAGGAGUUCUGGGCUGUAACGCGCUAUGCUGAUCGGGUGUCCGCACUAAGUUUGGCAUCAAUAUGGUGACCUCCUGGGAGCGGGGGACCGCCAGGUUGCCUAAGGAGGGGUGAUCCGGCCCAGGUCAGAAACAGAGCAGGUCAAGACUCCCGUGCUGAUCAGUAGCGGGAUUGUGCCUGUGAAUAGCCACUGCACUCCAGCCUGGGCAACAUGGCAAGACCCCAUCUCU
rnacentral:SRP_RNA from 1 species